rnacentral:lncRNA from 1 species
UCUUUUAGAGGGAAGUGGUAUGUGCUUGUGGUUGUCGAUGACUUCUCUCGCUACUCUUGGGUGUUCUUUAUGACGGCGAAGGAUGAGGCUUUUACUCAUGCUCGAGAUUUGAUUCUUCGGUUGUAAAAUGAGUUUCCUAAAAAUGCCAUGAGAGCUAUACGCAGUGACAAUGGCUCAAAAUUCAAAAACACUCAAUUUGCAACCUUUUGUGCUUCUUUCGGACUUGAGCAUCAGUUUCCUCUCCGUAUGUGCCCCAGCAAAAUGGUAUUGUUGAACGCAAAAAUCGGACCCUUGUUGAGAUGGCCAGGACGAUGCUUGAUGAGCAUAGGACUCCAAGGCGUUUUUGGGUCGAAGCGAUCAACACUGCUUGCCAUGUGUCCAAUCACAUCUUUCUUUGGGCUCUGAACAAAACUUCUUAUGGGCUGCGAUUUGGACGGCCACCCAAGGUCAGUCAUUUCAGGGUAUUUGGCUGCAGAUGCUUUGUGCUAAGAUGUCAUGGGCAUCAUAGGGAGCGAGAGGCAACAGCCAGGCUGGGAUAAGGCUAGAGAAUAAGAUUGAGAUGAGCUAGGAUAAGGCUAGAGAAUAAGAUUGAGAUGAGAGAAUUGUGGAGAGUUGGUUAGCAGUAGAUAAGUCCAAGAAAGUAGGAGUUAGUUGAGAGUUUGUAGGAGAAGUUGGUUAGCCAUAGGGCUAUUUAUAAGCCGCAUGGCAGCAGGGAAUAAAUCAAGCAAGAUCAUUAUCAAACCAAUCUCUCUCUCUCUUGCAAUGACCCUCUCAAGCGUCUAGGGCUGCUACCCUAGAACCAAGCCUGCGGCAGAGGGGUAUAACCUCGCCGGAGAAGACAACCCCAUGGACCGAAGGUCCAUGACACCUGGUAUCAGCUCCAGGUUAUCCUCACCACCACCAGCCGCCCAUCCCUCACCACCACCAGCCGCCGCACCAUCUGCUGCCGCAACGCCCUCCCACCCACCCUCUCCAACUCUAGAUGCAUUCACUCGGCUCGAAGAGAAGUGGGACCAAUUCGUUGUGAUGUUCCACCGCUACAAGGAGAAGACAGAGAAGGAACUCCAAGCAGCGGUGCGGCUUCAGGCGGCAGCGCAAGGGUUCCUGGCACGCCGCCAGGUACAGUCCCUUCGUGGGGAGAAGCACCUUGCUGUGGCCUCCAGGGCCACCCCAUGGCCGUCAUCACAUGAGCAGGUCGUGGUGCGCCUGCAAGCCGCAGUGCGCGGCUUCCUUGUUAGGCGGGCGGUGCGGAAGCUGCACUUGUUGAUCAGCUCAUCGCUGCACCAACUCGCACCUGCGCGCCCAACCACCAGGUCUCGUCUAUACUUUUUGAACCCACUGCAGAAGUCGAGAUCUGGGUAUGCAGCCCCCCUGCACGGCCAAAGAGGGUCGUCUCCUUCAUUCGGGCAACUGCCUUGGUGCUGGACAGACCCAACAUAAGAACGGGCUGGUUCCUCCUUCACCUGUCAUCCAACGUGAAGUCCGCAGUUCAGCUCUUUCCUUGGGAUCCAGGAGGACAGGAGGACAUAGCUGGAGUUCAAAUUUAUAUUUUAGUUCCACAAUUAUUUUGUAUUUUCGUCUUAAAUAAUAAAGGUAAGCCGAGAUGUAAAAGGCUUAACCUUAAGUCGUGUCAGGUAAGUCUAUGGCAGCUCGAGGACGAGCUGGUCCUCAAGGGAGGGGGAGAUGUCAUGGGCAUCAUAGGGAGCGAGAGGCAACAGCCAGGCUGGGAUAAGGCUAGAGAAUAAGAUUGAGAUGAGCUAGGAUAAGGCUAGAGAAUAAGAUUGAGAUGAGAGAAUUGUGGAGAGUUGGUUAGCAGUAGAUAAGUCCAAGAAAGUAGGAGUUAGUUGAGAGUUUGUAGGAGAAGUUGGUUAGCCAUAGGGCUAUUUAUAAGCCGCAUGGCAGCAGAGAAUAAAUCAAGCAAGAUCAUUAUCAAACCAAUCUCUCUCUCUCUCUUGCAAUGACCCUCUCAAGCGUCUAGGGCUGCUACCCUAGAACCAAGCCUGCGGCAGAGGGGUAUAACCUCGCCGGAGAAGACAACCCCAUGGACCGAAGGUCCAUG